rnacentral:rRNA from 1 species
AGAUUGAACGCUGGCGGCAUGCCUUACACAUGCAAGUCGAACGGCAGCACGGGGGCAACCCUGGUGGCGAGUGGCGAACGGGUGAGUAACAUAUCGGAACGCGCCCUGGAGUGGGGGAUAACUAGUCGAAAGAUUAGCUAAUACCGCAUACGAUCUACGGAUGAAAGUGGGGGAUCGCAAGACCUCAUGCUCGUGGAGCGGCCGAUAUCUGAUUAGCUAGUUGGUGGGUAAAGGCCUACCAAGGCAUCGAUCAGUAGCUGGUCUGAGAGGACGACCAGCCACACUGGGACUGAGACACGGCCCAGACCUCCUACGGGAGGCAGCAGGUGGGGAAUUUGGAC